rnacentral:piRNA from 1 species
UGCUUGCAUAGACAUUGAAGGUCUUCACGUG